rnacentral:rRNA from 1 species
UACGUAGGGUGCAAGCGUUGUCCGGAAUUAUUGGGCGUAAAGAGCUCGUAGGCGGUCUGUUGCGUCUGCUGUGAAAGCCCGGGGCUCAACCCCGGGCCUGCGGCCGAUACGGGCAGACUAGAGGGUGGUAGGGGAGAAUGGAAUUCCCGGUGUAGCGGUGAAAUGCGCAGAUAUCGGGAGGAACACCGGUGGCGAAGGCAGGUCUCUGGGCCACACCUGACGCUGAGAAGCGAAAGCGUGGGGAGCGAACAGG